rnacentral:rRNA from 1 species
GACAGAGGGUGCAAGCGUUGUUCGGAAUUACUGGGCGUAAAGGGCGCGUAGGCGGUCCGCUAAGUUCGGCGUGAAAUCCCCUGGCUCAACUGGGGAACGGCGCUGGAUACUGGUGGACUCGAGUACCGGAGAGGAGAGUGGAAUUCCUGGUGUAGCGGUGAAAUGCGUAGAGAUCCGGAGGAACACCGACGGCGCAGGCAGCGCCCUGGCUGUGAUAGCUGACACUGAGGCACGAAAGCUGGGGGAGCAAACAGG